rnacentral:snRNA from 1 species
AUACUUACCUGGCAGGGGAGAUACCAUGAUCACUAAGGUGGUUCUCCCAGGGUGAGGCUCAUCCAGUGCACUCCGGGUGUGCUGACCCCUGCGAUUUCCCCAAAUGCAGGAACUGCAUAAUUUGUGAAC